UACGGAGGGUGCAAGCAUUAAUCGGAUUUACUGGGCGUAAAGGGCGCGUAGGCGGGUUUGUAAGUCAAGUGUGAAAUUCCGGAGCUCAACUCCGGAGCUGCACCUGAAACUACAAGUCUAUAGAGGGAUGGCGGAGAAAAUGGAAUUCCACGUGUAGCGGUGAAAUGCGUAGAUAUGUGGAAGAACACCAGUGGCGAAAGCGGUUUUCUAGCUAUUACCUGACGCUGAGGCGCGAGAGCAUGGGGAGCAAACAGG
rnacentral:rRNA from 1 species